UGAACGCUGGCGGCGUGCCUAAUACAUGCAAGUCGAGCGAACAGACGAGGAGCUUGCUCCUCUGACGUUAGCGGCGGACGGGUGAGUAACACGUGGAUAACCUACCUAUAAGACUGGGAUAACUUCGGGAAACCGGAGCUAAUACCGGAUAAUAUAUUGAACCGCAUGGUUCAAUAGUGAAAGACGGUUUUGCUGUCACUUAUAGAUGGAUCCGCGCCGCAUUAGCUAGUUGGUAAGGUAACGGCUUACCAAGGCAACGAUGCGUAGCCGACCUGAGAGGGGGAUCGGCCAACCGGGAACUGAGACACGGCCCAAACCCCUAGGGGGGGCAGCAGAGGGGAAUUUUCCGCAAGGGGGAAAACCCGGCGGGGGCAACGCCGGGGGGGUGAUGAGGGUCUUGGGUUCGUAAAACUUUUUUUUUGGGAAAAAAAAAAUGGGAAAGUAACUUGGCCGGUCUUGAGGGACCCAAAUAAAAAAGCCCCGGCAAACUACGG
rnacentral:rRNA from 1 species